GACACUUUGGCCGAGUGGUUAAGGCGGCGGCCUGCUAAGCCGUUUCCCUCUGGGAGCGUGAGUUCAAUUCUCACAGGUGUCG
rfam:Tetrahymena thermophila SB210 genomic scaffold scf_8254373, whole genome shotgun sequence.